GAAAUGCGAUAAGUAAUGUGAAUUGCAGAAUUCCAUGAAUCAUCGAAUCUUUGAACGCACAUUGCGCCCUCUGGCAUUCCGGGGGUCAUGCCUGUCCGAGCGUCAUUACGCACCCUCAAGCCCGGCUUGUGUGAUGGGCCCCGGCGUCUCGUUCGCGAGACGGGCCCGAAAGGCAGCGGCGGCGUCGACCCGAUGAGCCCGAGCGUAUGGGGACUUCUGUCACACGUUCGCGGUGCGGACCGGCGCCUGCUUUGACUUUUCUGAUUAUCCAGGUUGACCUCGGAUCAGGUAGGGAUACCCGCUGAACUUAAGC
rnacentral:misc_RNA from 1 species